rnacentral:tRNA from 1 species
GGCUGGCUAGCUCAGUCGGUAGAGCAUGAAACCUUUAUUCUCAGGGUGGUGGGUUCGAGCCCCACGUUGGGCG